rnacentral:rRNA from 1 species
GCUUAGUGCUGUUAGAGUUCGACUAACACAUGCAAGUUUUUUUCCUUCGGGAGAAAGCGAACUGCUGAGUAACACGUAGCUAACCUACCCUUGAGUGGGGGAUAACCUUGGGAAACUAAGGCUAAUAUCCUAUAGGUGUCGGCGCCUGGAAAGGUCCGAUGCUGAAAGCUUCGGCGCUCAAGGAUGGGGCUGCGGCGGAUUAGGCUGUUGUCAAGGUAAACACUUGACAAACCUAUAAUCUGUAGGGGCUGUGUAAGCAGUAGCCCCCAGAUGGAUUCUGAGAAAUUAAUCCAGGCCCUACGGGGCGCAGCAGUGGCGAAACCUUCACAAUGCGCGCAAGCGUGAUGAGGGAACUCUAAGUGCUGGCACUUUGUGUCAGCUUUUCUUCAGUUUAAAGCGCUGGAGGAAUAAGGGAUGGGUAAGACCGUUGCCAGCCGCCGCGGUAAUAACGGCGUCCCAAGUGCUAAGCACUAAUAUUGGGUCUAAAGCAUCCGUAGCCGGUCUGAAAAGUCUCCUGUGAAAUCUCCUCGAAAACGAGAAGGCGUGCAGUAGAUACUGACAGACUUGGAACCGGGAGGAGUCGGAGGUACUCCAGAGGUAGGGGUUAAAUCCUAUAAUCUUUGGGGGACCACCUGUGGCGAAGGCGUCCGACUGGAACGGGUUCGACGGUGAGGGAUGAAAGCCAGGGGAGCAAAGGGGAUUAGAUACCCCCGUAGUCCUGGCCGUAAACGAUGCCCGCUAGGUAUUGCAAAUCUUUUGUGGAUUUGCAGUGCCGUAGGGAAGCCAUUGAGCGGGCCACCUGGGAAGUACGGUCGCAAGACUGAAACUUAAAGGAAUUGGCGGGAGAGCACACAAGGGNUGCGGCCUGCGGUU